GUACACUCCUGCGGGAGGCAGCAGUGAGGAAUAUUGGACAAUGGGUGGAAGCCUGAUCCAGCCAUCCCGCGUGCAGGAAGACGGCCCUAUGGGUUGUAAACUGCUUUUAUCUGGGGAUAAACCUACUUACGUGUAAGUAGCUGAAGGUACCAGAAGAAUAAGCACCGGCUAACUCCGUGCCAGCAGCCGCGGUAAUACGGAGGGUGCAAGCGUUAUCCGGAUUUAUUGGGUUUAAAGGGUCCGUAGGCGGACUGAUAAGUCAGUGGUGAAAUCCGACAGCUUAACUGUCGAACUGCCAUUGAUACUGUUAGUCUUGAGUAAGGUUGAAGUGGCUGGAAUAAGUAGUGUAGCGGUGAAAUGCAUAGAUAUUACUUAGAACACCAAUUGCGAAGGCAGGUCACUAAGUCUUAACUGACGCUGAUGGACGAAAGCGUGGGGAGCGAACAGGAUUAGAAACCCUAGUAGUCCCAUG
rnacentral:rRNA from 1 species